ACGAAGGGGGCUAGCGUUGUUCGGAAUUACUGGGCGUAAAGCGCACGUAGGCGGACAUUUAAGUCAGGGGUGAAAUCCCGGGGCUCAACCUCGGAACUGCCUUUGAUACUGGGUGUCUAGAGUAUGGAAGAGGUAAGUGGAAUUGCGAGUGUAGAGGUGAAAUUCGUAGAUAUUCGCAGGAACACCAGUGGCGAAGGCGGCUUACUGGUCCAUUACUGACGCUGAGGUGCGAAAGCGUGGGGAGCAAACAG
rnacentral:rRNA from 1 species